GCUUGUCUCAAAGAUUAAGCCAUGCAUGUCUAAGUAUAAAUGGUAUACAGUGAAACUGCGAAUGGCUCAUUAAAACAGUUAUAGUUUAUUUGGUAUUCGAAUUUACAUGGAUAACCGUGGUAAUUCUAGAGCUAAUACAUGCAUUACGCCUGACUUUUCGGAAGGGCAGUAUUUAUUAGAUAACAAGCCAAUAUUCCUCCGGGUCUAUUGUGGUGAUUCAUAAUAACUGAUCGAAUCGCAAGGCCUUUGGCCGCGAUAAGUCAUUCAAGUUUCUGCCCCAUCAGCUUUCGAUGGUAGUGUAUUGGACUACCAUGGCGUUCACGGGUAACGGAGAAUUAGGGUUCGAUUCCGGAGAGGGAGCCUGAGAAACGGCUACCACAUCUAAGGAAGGCAGCAGG
rnacentral:rRNA from 1 species